UCUCGUCAACCGCAGUCGGAUGCAAGGGAAUGGGGUGUAAAUCCCCUGCUGCCCCGCAACUGUGAUGGCCACGAAAGCCGCAGGAAGCCACUGUCCUGAGCCAAGUCGAAGGGUGGGAAGGCGCGGCGAGUAGGACAAAGCCUAAGCCAGGAGACCUAUCCGAUCUGCCUUCAAUCA
rnacentral:ncRNA from 2 species